rnacentral:lncRNA from 1 species
AGAAGAUAUCUAUUUCAAGUACAAUAUGUAUAAGACAAAUUAAAAAUAAGCGGUAGGCAAGGUCAAAUCAAACAUAUAAUUUUACAGAAACUAGCCUUAGACAAUAACUAAAACCAUGGAAAGGAAUGAUUUAUUCUGGAUAUUGGCUGCUAAAGAGCACUGACCCAUAUAUAGAAUGCUUUGGUAAGAAGAGACUCAAUUUCUUAGACUAAACCCCAAAGAUACAGACUUUUGAUGAAUUUAGAUAACAGAGGGUCACUUGAAUCUUCAUUUUAGGCACCUAUUUUGGAAAUGUGAGGAAAAAAGUCAGUUUAGUGGAAAUUGGAGGGCUUCCAAUAAAAACAGUCUUGUAAAUUCAUUCUUUGAAGACUCUUCUGCUCAAAAGCAAUAGCAAUGGCAGACUAAAUACAAAAAGAGAUGACUAAAAAGAUAGAGCCACAGUCAAAAAUUAGUUAAACAUCUCCAAGGACCAUAAAUACAAGAAAAGCAAAAUGCAAUAAGCAGGUUGGAAACCAUGGGGCCUGAAAGUCUUUAGAUCCAGAAGUCGACUGAGGCAACUAGAACUUCUAAUCUCUCAGCAGAACUGACUUCGUGUGAAAGACAAAGGCCAGACUUGCUGCCUGGAAGUGGAAGCAGGGCUCUCUCAUCUGUGUUGAGAAAGGCACUCAUCUGUGUAUCUAGCGAGACGGGAGAAAGUGGUCAUUUUAGAACAAGCCACCACAAGCCAGACAAAGGAAACCAAGAGAAUUUGCCAGUAGCAGAUAUACCCUCACUAGCAGAUAUACCCUAAAUGAAUGGCAAAGGAAGUCCUCUAUAACCAGAAGAAAAAGGAUUGAAAAAAGGAGUCUUAGAACACCAGGAAGAAAAGAAGAAUAAUGGAAAAAGCAAAAAUGGCAAGUUGAGCAGUGAAGUGGCAGCCUGCUGUGUUGGGGUGAUGGCCUCACUUUUGUCAUAUUAAUGUGAGAUACAUAAGCAGAGUCUCACUGUGUCGCCCAGGCUGGAGUGCAACGGCGCGAUCUCAGCGGCUCACUGCAACCUCAGCCUCCUGGUUCAAGCAAUUCUCCUGCCUCAGCCUCCUGAGUAGCUGGGAUUGCAGAUGCGCACCAGUAUUAUCACAAUUUAAAAAAGGGUUUUGUAAAAUAUUAACUCUCAAUCUCCACUAAACCUAAAACAUCUCAUAUACACUCUAAUAUCAAAAAACAAAUGGUUUAACUGUAUUUAAACAGUGGGAAUAAACAUAGAGAGGUCAUUAUGUCAAUAUCAAGUUCACUCUAAUGUGUGAGUAAAUUUUAUGAUUAAGAAGUGUUGUCUAAUUGUUUUCUAAGGCAGUGGGACUCACCUAGCACAGCUGUGAAAAUUCCACAUCUUUUCACACUGAAGUUUAAAUUGAAAAAUAGAGGCCAUGUAAGUUUAUGAAGUAUGGUGAUAAAGUUAUUUCGUGACCGUUUUUUUUAAAUGUCUAUCAAUGGAAAUACUGUAACUGAUGUGGUGGUAAUAUUUAGCUACCAGAAAAAAACCAUGGCUAAGCCUUAUGAAUAUUAUCACUUCUCCCUGUAUAGGCCUGCACUGGAAAAGUCAUUCAUUCAACUACAGUAUUACACCUCUCAUGGUAACCAUUACUGGAGGCUGAUUCUUUACCUCUCCACCUCCUUUAAUCUGUAACAAGAGAGUGAUGGCUACAAUUCCACAGACUUUAAACACUGGUCAGCAUUUAAGUUUUUCUUCUAUCUUUCAGGAGGCACUAAGAACAUAUUUUGCACAAAAAACACUAAUAAGAUUGCAGAAUAAAAGUCUCAAUCAUGCAUAUAUUCUUUCCCCACUUCUUUUACUCUUCUGUUGAGUUAGUGCUUAAAACAAAAUACCGCACCUUUCUCCAUCAAUUUCCUCCAUGAAAUUCAAAGUAUUCAGGUGAGGAUAGGUUAUUUUCACAUCCAGCCUGUGUAUCUCGCUGCAUCAUGAGAAGCUCAGCUGCUGCUGUUGUUUUGUUUUUGUCUGAAGGCAGGAUGUGUUUGAUUCUCUUUUUAAAGUUACUCAAGAGAAAAUGUUGACUGCUGUAAUAAAAAUCUGGAUGAAAUUGUAGUACAAUGUGUUCUGAGACUCAUACUCUAGGAAAUGUAUGCAGAGUACACUGAGAUUAAUAAAUGAAGUGGAAAAAUCUUCUAUAUUAAAAUGUUUUUCUCUUGAAA